UUUUCUUUAAGAAAUCGUGAAUUUAGUGCUGCUUUCUUGUAAAAAUGCAACUGCUUUCGUCUCAUAGCUGAUCACAUUGUAAAAAUCUUUAGCCAACACCUUACGGGUUUUUAGAAACUGAAAAGUAAACUAAAGUUAUCUCCCUUGUAGAUCACACGCCAAAAGAGUACCAAAUAUUUCUAAUUCCUUUUCCUCU